UCAGACGAUGCGUCAUGCAUAUCAAUAAGCGGAGGAAAAGAAACUAACAAGGAUUCCCCUAGUAACGGCGAGUGAAGCGGGAAGAGCUCAAAUUUGAAAUCUUAAAGGGUUUCCCUUUACGAAUUGUAGUUUAAAGAAGUGUUUUCUGUUGAGGUUUUGGUAAAAGUUCUUUGGAAUAGGACAUCAUAGAGGGUGAGAAUCCCGUAUUUGACCUUUACUUUCAACUUUGUGAUACACUUUCAAAGAGUCGGAUUGUUUGGGAAUGCAGUCCAAAAUGGGUGGUAAAUUUCAUCUAAAGCUAAAUAUUGGCGAGAGACCGAUAGCGAACAAGUACCGUGAGGGAAAGAUGAAAAGAACUUUGAAAAGAGAGUUAAACAGUACGUGAAAUUGUCAAAAGGGAAGCGUUUGACACCAGUGUUGUUUUUCUGAAAAUCAAUUAAAGAACUGUUUAUGCUAAGUUGUUUAGACUUUAUCAGCUGAUCUGUUUAGUUUUGAGCUUUUCUUUAAUGCACUUUUCAGUUAACAAGUCAACAUCAAUUUCUUUUGCUGUAAAAAAGCUUGAGGAAGGUGGCUUGAGAUUCGUCUUAAGUGUUUAUAGCCUCUUGCCUAUGCAGUCGGAGAGAUUGAGGUCUGCAGCGUAGAUCCUUCGGGGCUAAAUGCAUUUGUGCUAAGUUAUAGCAUUUUAUAGACAACCUGUUGACUAUGAUUUGUCUUGUAGCUUACUCGCUUAUGUUAUUUUACCUACGCUUAGGAUGUUGAAUCUGUGCGAGACUAC
rnacentral:rRNA from 1 species